rnacentral:rRNA from 1 species
AUUGAACGCUGGCGGCAUGCUUUACACAUGCAAGUCGAACGAGUGGCGAACGGGUGAGUAACGCAUCGGAACGUACCUAGUAGUUGGGGAUAACUAUCCGAAAGGACAGCUGAUACCGCAUAUUAUUCGAGCGGCCGAUUUCGGAUUGGCUGGUGGGGGGGGUAAAGGCACACCAAGGCGACGAUCAGUAGCGGGUCUGAGAGGAUGAACAGCCACACUGGGACUGAGAAACGGCCCAGACUCCUACGGGAGGCAGCAGUGGGGAAUUUUGGACAAUGGGCGAAAGCCUGAUCCAGCCAUGCCGCGUGUGUGAAGAAGGCCUUCGGGUUGUAAAGGACUUUUGGCAGGGAAGCGGUACCUGCAGAAUAAGCACCGGCUAACUACGUGCCAGCAGCCGCGGUAAUAC